rfam:Danio rerio chromosome 5, GRCz11 reference primary assembly.
UGCCACAGCCAUAUCACCCUGCAGCCCAAGACCAUUUACUCACUGAAGCUAAGCAGGGCUGAGCCUGGUCAGUACCUGGAUGGGAGACCACAUGGGAAAACUAGGUUGCUGUUGGAA